rnacentral:misc_RNA from 1 species
GCAAUAAAGGGAAAAACUGGGGAAGCAAAGUAGGAAAUGAACUUGAAAACUUUUUCUUGUUUGCAUUCAGAAAGUCAAGGGUUGCUUCUGCAACAACAGGGUCUGCAAACUCACGGCUCAAGCAUGACUUAAAAAAGGUCCGUAAGUUAGGAUCAGCAUCAUGCAGGACCACAUCUCCAAAGUCAAGAAAAAACUGAAGUAUAGCCAAUAGAAGAAGGCCAUUGGAGGUUUGAGACUGCGAAAUUGAAGAAAGACAUCGCUGAAAUAUCCUAUUCAGAUGAGGAUAAACUCUAGCAAUCAAAUCUUCUGAUUUUUCACUUCUACAUAAAUCACAAAGACUUUUGACGGAAUUGAGAAGAGAAGGAUCAGAGGCAGGGUCGGUGACGAAAUUGGAGUCUCUAGCACUGGAAGAUAACGAUCUCAGAUGAAAAUCGAACUGUUUGAAUUUGUCUUCUCCGGCCAUCAUCUAUUUAUCGAUACAAAGCAAAGCAG